rnacentral:rRNA from 1 species
AACGAACGCUGGCGGCAGGCUUAACACAUGCAAGUCGAACGCACCGCAAGGUGAGUGGCAGACGGGUGAGUGACACGUGGGGAUCUGCCCAAUGGUACGGAAUAGCUCCGGGAAACUGGAAUUAAUACCGUAUGAGCCCGCAAGGGGAAAGAUUUAUCGCCAUUAGAUGAACCCGCGUCGGAUUAGCUAGUUGGUGUGGUAAAGGCGCACCAAGGCGACGAUCCGUAGCUGGUCUGAGAGGAUGAUCAGCCACACUGGGACUGAGACACGGCCCAGACUCCUACGGGAGGCAGCAGUGGGGAAUAUUGGACAAUGGGCGCAAGCCUGAUCCAGCCAUGCCGCGUGAGUGAUGAAGGCCUUAGGGUUGUAAAAUCCUUUCACCGGUGAAGAUAAUGACUGUAGCCGGAGAAGAAGCCCCGGCUAACUUCGUGCCAGCCGCCGCAGUAACAC